rnacentral:rRNA from 1 species
GAUGAACGCUAGCGGCAGGCCUAAUACAUGCAAGUCGAACGGUGUAGCAAUACACAGUGGCGCACGGGUGCGUAACACGUAUGCAACCUACCUAUCAUUGGGGGAUAGCCUUUGGAAACGGAGAUUAAUACCGCAUAAGACGGUAACAUGGCAUCAUGUAGCUGUUAAAGCUUUGGCGAUGAUAGAUGGGCAUGCGUCCAGUUAGUUAGUUGGUGCGGUAACGGCUCACCAAGACGCGGAUUGGUAGGGGUGCUGAGAGGAUAAUCACCCACACUGGAGCUGAGAUCUGGGACAGGCUCCUACGGGAGGCCGCAGGAGUGAAUAUUGGGCGCUGGACGGAGGUCUGACCCGGCACUGCCGCGUGCCGGAAGAAGGCGUUAUUCGUUGUAAACUUCUUUUAUUUAGGAAGAAACCACAUUUUUUUAAGAGUGAUGACCGUAUUAAAUGACUAAGCACCGGCUAACGCCGUGCCAGCCGCCGCCGUAAGAC